GUGGGGAAUAUUGGACAAUGGGCGAAAGCCUGAUCCAGCCAUGCCGCGUGCAGGAUGAAGGCCUUCGGGUUGUAAACUGCUUUUGUACGGAACGAAAAGACUCCUUCUAAUAAAGGGGGUCCAUGACGGUACCGUAAGAAUAAGCACCGGCUAACUACGUGCCAGCAGCCGCGGUAAUACGUAGGGUGCAAGCGUUAAUCGGAAUUACUGGGCGUAAAGCGUGCGCAGGCGGUUAUAUAAGACAGAUGUGAAAUCCCCGGGCUCAACCUGGGAACUGCAUUUGUGACUGUAUAGCUAGAGUACGGUAGAGGGGGAUGGAAUUCCGCGUGUAGCAGUGAAAUGCGUAGAUAUGCGGAGGAACACCGAUGGCGAAGGCAAUCCCCUGGACCUGUACUGACGCUCAUGCACGAAAGCGUGGGGAGCAAACAGGAUUAGAAACCCGAGUAGUCC
rnacentral:rRNA from 1 species